UACAGAGGGGGCAAGCGUUAUUCGGAAUUAUUGGGCGUAAAGGGCGCGUAGGCGGCUUUUCAAGUGACGGGUGAAAUCCCUCGGCUUAACCGAGGAACUGCCUGUCAGACUGGAAGGCUUGAGACCGGGAGAGGUGAGUGGAAUUCCCAGUGUAGCGGUGAAAUGCGUAGAUAUUGGGAGGAACACCAGUGGCGAAGGCGGCUCACUGGACCGGAACUGACGCUGAGGCGCGAAAGCUAGGGGAGCAAACGGG
rnacentral:rRNA from 1 species